rnacentral:misc_RNA from 1 species
CUGGGUUCGGGGGCAAUCCCAGUCCCGACCUCCAACCCUUUGUGAACAUAUCUUGUUGCUUCGGGGGCAACCCUGCCGUUCGCGGCAUUCCCCCCGGAGGUCAUCAAAACACUGCAUUAUUACGUCGGAGUAAAAAGUUAAUUUAAUA